AGUCACACUUAUAACGACACCUGAUGAUGCAUACUGGGGCGAAGCCAUUUCAGUGUAGCCACUGUGAUUACAAAUUGAGUCUGAAGUCACACUUAUAACGACACCUGAUGAUGCAUACUGGGGCGAAGCCAUUUCAGUGUAGCCACUGUGAUUACAAAUUGAGUCUAAAGUCACACUUAUAACGACACCUGAUGAUACAUACUGGGGCGAAGUAAUUAAAGGUCAAAGUUAAGGUUUAAAAAUGUUGGUCUCCAUUCAUUUAGUUUACCAAGCAACACUACGCAAUAUUCAGGUAUUGCUUGCUUAUAAUUGAGAAAUUAAUAUGCAUAAUAUAUUUAUUUUUUAUGAUUAAGUAUGACGAUGAAAUUGUAAUUGGGUCAAGUAAUUUAAGUGCCUUUAAUCAACAAUAAGAGAUCGAAUAUUAUAACGACCAAAAAGUAAUGUUUAUUUAUAGCAAUAUUUAUUAAUGUUAUAUAAUCAUGUAACAUGAAUUAUAUAUAGGUUGCUAUAAGCAACCGGUCGUAAAAUUAAAUUGUUUACGACAACGUUAAAUACUGAAAAUUAUGAUAUGAUUCAAUCUCGAUUGAAUAUUCUUAUAAUGAUGUCAAUUAUUGGGUUAAAAUUGCAUUUACUCAUAAUUGAGUGAUGGCGUAUGUUUUUAUGGUAUCUUCAGACGUUAUUAAUGUAAGAAUACGAAGUGGCCGUAGCUAAAUUAAUUAAUAGAAAUCGCAGGCCAAAUGUAACAGAAAGAGUAUGAAUUUUAAUACCUAUAUAGGGAAUAAGGUUCUUAUAAGCUUUAAUGUUAUUGAUAGAGUACCGGUCUCUGUCAAAAAACAUAUGCCCUAAUCCUUGGUGCCAUUGACAUCUAUCUAAAGCUAUAAAAUAAAUAUGUAGCUAAGGCAGCUAAAAUACAAGAGAGAAUAAAACAAUUAAUGUGUCUUUGGCAUCAAGUAUCGGGUUUACAUUGGAUUCAGAAACUGCGUAAAUUAGGGCACCUUAGCUACGGCCGGCGAAAGUCUCGAAAAGCAAUACUCAGAUUUGGAAAACGUAUGCAUUUCUGAUCGAAAAAUUAGCAAAACGAAGGUUGAUCGAAUGGUUAGGUUAACAAUAUUUUAUAGCAAUAUUCAUUUAGUGACUUAACCCUUUAAACGCCGGUAUACAUUAUUGACGACAUAAGACGUCAGAAGCAUUUAAAGGAUUAAAGUUUGAACAGAUUGCAUUCGAAUAAUCUUGCCAUUGACUAAUGACUAACUAAAUGUUCAAUUGGCUAUGAAAACUAAUAUACAGUGACUUAUCGAGUCGUUAUUGGCUCUCUCUAAUAUAAUUAUGACAAAAUGACAAAUUGAAAUGAUUAUGAUUACAUUUAAUGAUUGAAAAAUAAAACGUGGGUAUUCGGGACACACCACUACGACACACCUGAUCUGCCACCAAAAAAAAAAGUUUAGUGUUGCCGGGCUAAAAAAGUUCAGACUACCCACGUUUUAUUUUUUUAAGAGCGUACCUGAACGCAAUGUUCACUAAUGCCAUUUAUAAACGCUCACGAACCGAGCAUAAUAUGACGCGAUUUAUUAUUAUUAUUCCCUCAUUAUGAAGCUUUUUAUGUUGUUUGGCGUUUUGCACAAGUGUUUCCUUAUAGUGGCAACUUUGCUUUUAGUCAGAAUGAUCUCAAGUCCGUGUGCGUAUGCCUUUACAAAUACUUGCCAUUUGUGGCCUUUUAUUUUACUAUAGACCGUAGGCACUUUGAAGCACUGCUUUCGUACCUUAACUUUAUAAGGACGGGAGUAGUCUUAACCCUUUCCUCGCUAAUAGUUACAUAACACUUUGAAACAAAGUAGCCGUUAUAAUCCAUAUUUAAAGUUAUAAUUAAUUUGCAAACUUUCGCCAUGACAAUUGCACGUAAUUUAGGGAAAAGGACCCAACCAAUAAAAAUCUAUCAAUAAAAUUUGAACUCUCAUUAAGUAAUUUAAAUGACAAAUUUUAGAGAAACCUUUUCGCUAAACUUUGUCCAAUUGGGCGACUAUAAGCGUCAUUGGCGUGGAAAGGGUAAAAGUGUCAGGUCAUAUUACUAACAGUUCCAAAUAUCAACGCAAUACGACUCCGUCUGGCGAUCUGUCGCCAUAUUGUUUAAGAUGUACGUCUCAGGAGUUGUGCUGCGUUCUGCCAUUAGAUUAUAAGCAUAGUUCAUAUUGCCUUCAGUCAGCCAUAAGAGUCGAAACAUUUGCCUCGGGCGAGACGUCUAACGAGACCGAGUUGCUUCGCGCGGCAAUUUCCUCGCGAGGCAACUCGUAAAAAAAAGCAAGCGCAAAGCGCCUUGAUGCGAAGCGAAGUGAUGAGCCUUAUUUUCUAAGCAGUAAAUGCGAAAAUGCUAAACACUCUUAUGGCUAACUGUGUCCGAGUACUGUUGCCACUAUUUUUUCCGUGCACGGUGGUAGUUCUAAGCAUAGCUCUGCGCAGAGCACUAUAUUUUCAUCGAAUACAUUAUAUUGUAAAUAGUUACUUUAUAUCCUUGUUAAAUAAUGCUGGUAGUCACAACGAAAUCAAAGACUGCAAGUAUUAUUGGUGAAUUAAAUGUUAAUUGUUUUGUACUGUAUUUUUUUACAUAUUUAAUCGCUAAAGUAUUGUUGAUUCCUUUAUUUUUUGACAAUCAUGUUGUAGUUGUAAGGUACCCGGGU